rnacentral:rRNA from 1 species
AUUGAACGCUGGCGGCAGGCUUAACACAUGCAAGUCGAACGAGUGGCGGACGGGUGAGUAAUGCUUGGGACUCUAGCUUAUGGAGGGGGAUAACUACGGGAAACUGUAGCUAAUACCGCGUACAAUAGGAUGAGCCCAAGUGGGAUUAGGUAGUUGGUGAGGUAAAGGCGCACCAAGACGACGAUCUCUAGCAGGUCUGAGAGGAUGACCCGCCACACUGGGACUGAUACACGGCCCAGACUCCUACGGGAGGCAGCAGUGGGGAAUAUUGCGCAAUGGGGGCAACCUGACGCAGCCAUGCCGCGUGAAUGAAGAAGGCCUUCGGGUUGUAAAGUUCUUUCGGUAGCGAGGCGGUAACUACAGAAGAAGCACCGGCUAACUCCGUGCCAGCCGCCGCGGUAAUUC